rnacentral:rRNA from 1 species
UACAGAGGGUGCGAGCGUUGUCCGGAAUCACUGGGCGUAAAGGGCGCGUAGGCGGUCUGCUAAGCGUGUGGUGAAAGCUCGGGGCUCAACCCCGAGUCGGCCGUGCGAACUGGUGGACUGGAGUACGUCAGAGGCAGGCGGAAUUCCGGGUGUAGCGGUGGAAUGCGUAGAGAUCCGGAAGAACACCGGUGGCGAAGGCGGCCUGCUGGGACGUGGCUGACGCUGAGGCGCGACAGCGUGGGGAGCAAACAGG